rnacentral:rRNA from 1 species
UUGAGCGGAGGUAGAUGGAGCUUGCUCUAUGUACCUUAGCAGCGAACGGGUGAGUAACACGUAGAUAAUCUGUCCUAUAUUGGGGGAUAGCCCGAUGAAAGUUGGAUUAAUACCGCAUACAGCUAUAUAGUUGCAUGAUUAUAUAGUGAAAGAUUUAUUGAUAUAGGAGGAGUCUGCGGCACAUUAGCUAGUAGGUGAGGUAAGAGCUUACCUAGGCGACGAUGUGUAGCCGGUCUGAGAGGAUGAACGGCCACAAUGGAACUGAGACACGGUCCAUACUCCUACGGGAGGCAGCAGUGGGGAAUAUUGCACAAUGGGGGAAACCCUGAUGCAGCAACGCCGCGUGAGUGAAGAAGGUUUUCGGAUUGUAAAGCUCUGUUAGCAGGGAAGAGGAAGGACGGUACCUGCAGAGGAAGCCACGGCUAACUACGUGCCAGCAGCCGCGGUAAUACGUAGGUGGCAAGCGUUGUUCGGAAUAACUGGGCGUAAAGGAUGCGUAGGCGGUUAAAUAAGUUAUAUGUUAAAUAUAUAGGCUUAACCUGUAGAAAGCAUAUAAAACUGUUUAACUAGAGUGCAGGAGAGGUAAGUGGAAUUCCUAGUGUAGCGGUGAAAUGCGUAGAGAUUAGGAAGAACACCAGUGGCGAAGGCGACUUACUGGACUGUAACUGACGCUG